rnacentral:lncRNA from 1 species
CUAAUUCCCAUGGUGAGGAAUUAGUGAGUGAGUCACUAGGUCUCAAAUGAGUGGGACUAGUGGGCUUGGUAGCCGUGCCUGGAUUUGGACGGUGAGGUGAACUAUAUGUUCACAAAUAGUCGGUACCGCAUGCAUGGAGUCUCAUUGCAUUUGUAUUGUAUGGCGUAUAAUAUGAAUGGAUGUAUUCCAAUAUUAUACGUGUGUUUUGUGG